UCUCCGUAGGUGAACCUGCGGAGGGAUCAUUACAGAGUUCAUGCCCUACCGGGUAGAUCUCCCACCCUAUGUUAUUAUUACUUUGUUGCUUUGGCGGGCCGUUAGGCUCCGGCCCGACUACCGGCCCCGGCUGGUAAGCGCCCGCCAGAGGACCCAAAACCCUGAAUAUUAGUGUCGUCUGAGUACUAUAUAAUAGUUAAAACUUUCAACAGCGGAUCUCUUGGUUCUG
rnacentral:misc_RNA from 1 species